GAUGAACGCUGGCGGCGUGCCUAAUACAUGCAAGUCGAGCGAACAGACGAGGAGCUUGCUCCUCUGACGUUAGCGGCGGACGGGUGAGUAACACGUGGAUAACCUACCUAUAAGACUGGGAUAACUUCGGGAAACCGGAGCUAAUACCGGAGAAUAUAUUGAACCGCAUGGUUCAAUAGUGAAAGACGGUUUUGCUGUCACUUAUAGAUGGAUCCGCGCCGCAUUAGCUAGUUGGUAAGUUAACGGCUUACCAAGGCAACGAUGCGUAGACGACCUGAGAGGGUGAUCGCCCACACUGGAACUGAGCCACGGUCCAGACUCCUACGGGAGGCAGCAGUAGGGAAUCUGCCGCAAUGGGCGAAAGCCUGACGGAGCAACGCCGCGUGAGUGAUGAAGGUCUUCGGAUCGUAAAACUCUGUUAUUAGGGAAGAACAAAUGUGUAAGUAACUAUGCACGUCUUGACGGUACCUAAUCAGAAAGCCACGGCUAACUACGUG
rnacentral:rRNA from 1 species